UGUCAUUGUGUUUUUGCUAUAAAGCUUUGGUUAAGAUCAAAGUUAACACCAAUACUUGGCUGUUGAUGUUCAAGUUUGAAAAUCAUCUAUUAGAUUUUAUUUUUGUAUUUUUCUUAUGAGUUUGUAUUGAGUGUUGGUAGUAUAUAUAUGACUCUUCACCAAUAUAUGACACUUGCUUAUGCAACUUAUCCCAAACUUUCAUCUUUUCAAAUAGUGUUUCUGUUGAUUGUAGC